UACGUAGGGCGCAAGCGUUGUCCGGAAUUAUUGGGCGUAAAGGGUGCGUAGGCGGCGCGGUAAGUCGGGUGUGAAAUCUCGGAGCUUAACUCCGAAACUGCAUUCGAUACUGUGGUGCUCGAGGACUGGAGAGGAGACUGGAAUUCAUGGUGUAGCAGUGAAAUGCGUAGAGAUCAUGAGGAAGACCAGUGGCGAAGGCGGGUCUCUGGACAGUUCCUGACACUGAGGCACGAAGGCCAGGGGAGCAAACGGG
rnacentral:rRNA from 1 species